AUACGAAGGGUGCAAGCGUUAAUCGGAAUUACUGGGCGUAAAGCGCGCGUAGGUGGUUUUGUAAGUUGGAGGUGAAAGCCCCGGGCUCAACCUGGGAAUUGCCUCCAAAACUGCAUGACUAGAGUACGGUAGAGGGUAGUGGAAUUUCCUGUGUAGCGGUGAAAUGCGUAGAUAUAGGAAGGAACACCAGUGGCGAAGGCGACUACCUGGACGGAUACAGACACCGAGGUUGGAAAGCGUGGGGAGCAAAAAGGAUUAGUUGCCCUGGUGGUCCACGCCGUAAACGAUGUCAACUAGCCGUUGGGAUCCUUGAGAUCUUAGUGGCGCAGCUAACGCAUUAAGUUGACCGCCUGGGGAGUACGGCCGCAAGGUUAAAACUCAAAUGAAUUGACGGGG
rnacentral:rRNA from 1 species